AUCCGCUUUGAGAUGGCCUCGCGUCCGAUUAGCUAGUUGGUGAGGUAACGGCCCACCAAGGCGACGAUCGGUAGCCGGACUGAGAGGUUGAACGGCCACAUUGGGACUGAGACACGGCCCAGACUCCUACGGGAGGCAGCAGUGGGGAAUAUUGCACAAUGGGGGAAACCCUGAUGCAGCGACGCCGCGUGGAGGAAGAAGGUCUUCGGAUUGUAAACUCCUGUUGUUGAGGAAGAUAAUGACGGUACUCAACAAGGAAGUGACGGCUAACUACGUGCCAGCAGCCGCGGUAAAACGUAGGUCACAAGCGUUGUCCGGAAUUACUGGGUGUAAAGGGAGCGCAGGCGGGAGAACAAGUUGGAAGUGAAAUCCAUGGGCUCAACCCAUGAACUGCUUUCAAAACUGUUUUUCUUGAGUAGUGCAGAGGUAGGCGGAAUUCCCGGUGUAGCGGUGGAAUGCGUAGAUAUCGGGAGGAACACCAGUGGCGAAGGCGGCCUACUGGGCACCAACUGACGCUGAGGCUCGAAAGUGUGGGUAGCAAACAGGAUUAGAUACCCUGGUAGUCCACACCGUAAACGAUGAUUACUAGGUGUUGGAGGAUUGACCCCUUCAGUGCCGCAGUUAACACAAUAAGUAAUCCACCUGGGGAGUACGACCGCAAGGUUGAAACUCAAAGGAAUUGACGGGGGCCCGCACAAGCAGUGGAGUAUGUGGUUUAAUUCGACGCAACGCGAAGAACCUUACCAAGUCUUGACAUCCCUUGACGA
rnacentral:rRNA from 1 species